CCUACGGGCGGCAGCAGUGGGGAAUAUUGGGCAAUGGAGGAAACGCUGACCCAGCAAGGCCGCGUGAAUGAAGAAGGUCGUCGGAGUGGAAAGGGUGUUAGUCAGGGAAGAAGAAAAUGACGGUACCUGAAGAAUAAGCUUCGGCUAACUACGUGCCAGCAGCAGCGGUAAUACGUAGGGAGCAAGAGUUGGGCGGAAGGACGGGGUGUAAAGGGUGCGUAGGCGGUGAGUCAAGGUAGAAGGGAAAUACACCGGGCUUAACUCGGGUACUGCGUCUAAAACUGUAAGACUUGAGUGCAGUAGAGGUUAGUUGAAUUCCUGGUGUAGCGGUGAAAUGCGUAGAUAUUAGGCGGAACCCCAGCGGCGAAGGCAGCUCACUGGACUGCAACUGACGCUGAGGCACGAAAGUGUGGGGAGCAAACAGGAUUAGAUACCCCUGUAGUC
rnacentral:rRNA from 1 species